AGAGAAAACAAUCAAAUGGCUGCAGAAAUUUAACAAUAACAAAUGGCAGACAAAAACGAACAAACGCAAACAAUGCGCCAACCGAAAGCUUAACAAAUGCAAAAGUUAUAUUUAGCUGCCACCGAGAACGUAAUGAAAAUUCAUGCAAACAAAAAUAUACAAAAUAAGAAGAGAAAUAAUACAACAAAAAUUAUUGAAAAUGUUUCCAACAAGUUGGCAACGCGCCGGCCCAAAAUAAACCACAAUUUAAAUAAAUUUACAGCAAACGUUGGUCAAAUAUUUUGACCCCAAAGCGAAAGUUGCAGCCAAAAGCCAAAAGCUGUUGCUGCCAACAUUUGGACAGUGUUUCACAGAUGUGUGUGUGUGUGUGUGUGUGUGUGUGUGUGUGUUGCCCUCUGGCACACACACAGAGAUUGAUGUGCACACGCCGUAAUUUGCCGCAACAGCCGCAGCAAUGACAGCCACUUAAUACCCAAAUAAUCAAUGUAAUUAAUUUGCAAUAAUUUAAUUGUACAGACAUUCACACA